rnacentral:rRNA from 1 species
CCCCUUCGGAUAGCAAAGCCUUUUUGGAAAUGAAAGCUUCGCGAGUACAGAAGUCGUUGAGCAGCUUUCCAGAAAGGCUCCUAGUGUUAUUUAUUAUCANNCCGUACNGAAAAUGACACACAUGGGUGAGGAGAGAUCCCUNAAGUGAGCGAGAGAACUAUAGCUAAGACUUCUGCAAAAUGACUCCGUACCUAGGANNGAAGGAGUGCUCAUAGAGAUAUGAGCCGCAGUGAAACGGCCCAAGCGACUGUUACCAAAAACACAGCUCUCUGCUAAGCCGAAAGGCGACGUAUAGGGGGUGACGCCUGCCCGGUGCUGGAAGGUUAAGGGGACAUGUCAUCGAAAGAGAAGCAUCGAACCGAAGCCCCAGUAAACGGCGGCCGUAACUAUAACGGUCCUAAGGUAGCGAAAUUCCUUGUCAGGUAAGUUCUGACCCGCACGAAAGGCGUAACGAUUUGGGCGCUGUCUCAGCUGUAGACUCGGUGAAGUCUUAGUACCUGUGAAGAUGCAGGUUACCCGCGACUAGACGGAAAGACCCCAUGGAGCUUUACUGUAGCUUGAUAUUGGACUUUGAUGCAGCAUGUACAGGAUAGGUAGGAGGCUAAGAGACGAGUGCGCCAGCAUUCGAGGAGCCGCUGUUGGGAUACUACCCCUGCUGUAUUGGAGUUCUAACCGGACGUCAUGGAACUGAUGACGGGACAGUGUCAGGUGGGCAGUUUGACUGGGGCGGUCGCCUCCCAAAGAGUAACGGAGGCGCCCAAAGAUACCCUCAGCUUGGAUGGAAACCAAGCGCAGAGUGCAAAGGCAAAAGGGUGUUUGACUGCGAGACCCACAAGUCGAGCAGGGACGAAAGUCGGGCUUAGUGAUCCGGCGGUGCUGAAUGGAAAGGCCGUCGCUCAACGGAUAAAAGCUACCCUGGGGAUAACAGGCUGAUCUCCCCCAAGAGUUCACAUCGACGGGGAGGUUUGGCACCUCGAUGUCGGCUCAUCGCAUCCUGGAGCUGAAGUCGGUUCCAAGGGUUGGGCUGUUCGCCCAUUAAAGCGGUACGCGAGCUGGGUUCAGAA